rnacentral:lncRNA from 1 species
GAAGGUAAAUGGGUCUGUCACUGGUGCUGCCUUCCCUGCACAGACUCACAAUGUUUGUUAGCAUAAUGAGGUCUCUGAGAAAUCCCAGAGGUAUCACGGCCACACGUGGUAAUUCAGUUUACUGGACUAUUCCCACCACAAGACUGCGCCUAUGCUGUCUUGGUCAUUCCCUCAGGUUGACCCAUUGAAGAUUAGGAAGCUCCUCUUCCCCUGAGAAUUUCUCUAACUGGGUGUCCACCCAAUGACAAACAAGCUAGAGACCCACUUCCCAGCCAGAGACCUGAGAACAGUUGAAUACUGGUUCACAUUGUUGGAACACGAAGCCAAGGAUAACCAGAUGGUGUCCGAGUCCAAAGGACAGUCGCUUGUAAGAGAUCUUGGCACUGACUGAGCAGAUGGCGGGUGAGUUCUGCCACCAAAUUGAGAACUGCCUGGAC